GGGCCUCUAGCUCAACUGGCAGAGCAGCGGACUUUUAAUCCGCGGGUUGAGGGUUCGAUCCCCUCGGGGCCCACCG
rnacentral:tRNA from 1 species